CCCUUAGAUGUUCUGGGCCGCACGCGCGCUACACUGACAGAGCCAACGAGUUCCUUGCCUUGGCCGGAAGGUCUGGGUAAUCUUGUUAAACUCUGUCGUGCUGGGGAUAGAGCAUUGCAAUUAUUGCUCUUCAACGAGGAAUGCCUAGUAAGCGCGUGUCAUCAGCAUGCGUUGAUUACGUCCCUGCCCUUUGUACACACCGCCCGUCGCUACUACCGAUUGAAUGGCUCAGUGAGGCCUUCGGACUGGCUCGGGGAGGUUGGCAACGACCACCCCAAGCCGGAAAGUUCGUCAAACUCGGUCAUUUAGAGGAAGUAAAAGUCGUAACA
rnacentral:rRNA from 1 species